AUGGCCAGUGAUGAGGAUUCACUAGAUGAUCAAAACCCUAGAUCUUGGACCGUUAGCAACACUAGUACUAUUAACAAGACGGAAGAAGCAUCCAGCAUGUUCUCGGUCCAGGAUCAUCACCCACAAAGAGCAGUAGUGAACUUUUUAAAGGAUGACAAUACCACCAAAACGAUCCAUGAGCAAUGGCAAGCAAAAGCUAAGGUUGCCUCGUAG
rnacentral:rRNA from 1 species